rnacentral:lncRNA from 1 species
CACCUCCCCCUUUCGAUGGCAAUGAUCCUCCAACUACUAAUUGAUUAAACAUUUGAUAUUUUAGAUAUAUAUAAUGUACUUUUAUAAGUAUAUGAAGAAUUUUUAUUGUAUGAUAUUUCAUAUGUUUUAAUGCACUUGAUGUUAAACUUUAGAUCUUGAAUAUAUAAUUGGUUGAAUAUUAAGAGAUGAAUCUCUAUAUUUUGUUUCGUUAAAUUUGAUAUUCAU